rnacentral:lncRNA from 1 species
AAACUCAUGAUAAAUCCCAACUAAGAGAUUCCCAUAAUCGGAAUCCAAUGAAUCGACCCAGAUCAUAUGGAUCCCGAUCAUGAUCAGUCCGGCCAAGGCCAUGGACAUCACCCCUGAACCGGCCAAGGCCAUGGUUCAGUGCUAUCAAGUAUUAAGCGUAUGCUCCCCUGGAGCCAAGUCCUCUCAUGGACUAAUAAUGCCCAUCGGAUCCUAAGUCAAUCAACCAACCACCCCACAUGACUCAGAACUGAUGAAUCUUCACACUUACCUAACCGGCCAUGGAACCAUGUCCCACUGAACCCGAUCAAUCUUGCUCUUACAACCGGUGCAUCCCUUAAUCAAUCAGAUCAGACACCUUGAUCCAUCACCUAUGGAUCAGGUCAUCCAUCCUUGCCCAAGAUCAG